GGAGUUGUAGCUCAGUGGUAGAGCACUUGCCUCAAAAGUGUGAGGCACUGGGUUCAAUCCUAGUAUCACAU
rnacentral:tRNA from 1 species